rnacentral:rRNA from 1 species
UACAGAGGUCCCAAGCGUUGUUCGGAUUCAUUGGGCGUAAAGGGUGCGUAGGCGGUGAGGUAAGUCUGGUGUGAAAUCCCGGGGCUCAACCCCGGAACUGCACUGGAUACUGCUUUACUUGAGUACUGGAGAGGGAACUGGAAUUUACGGUGUAGCAGUGAAAUGCGUAGAUAUCGUAAGGAAGACCAGUGGCGAAGGCGAGUUCCUGGACAGUUACUGACGCUGAGGCACGAAGGCCAGGGGAGCAAACGGG